UACGGGGGGAGCAAGCGUUGUUCGGAUUUACUGGGCGUAAAGGGCGCGUAGGCGGCCAUCGCAAGUCAAUUGUGAAAUCUCCGGGCUUAACUCGGAAAGGUCAACUGAUACUGCGAGGCUAGAGUGCGGAAGGGGCAACUGGAAUUCUCGGUGUAGCGGUGAAAUGCGUAGAUAUCGAGAGGAACACCUGCGGCGAAGGCGGGUUGCUGGGCCGACACUGACGCUGAGGCGCGAAAGCGUGGGGAGCAAACAGG
rnacentral:rRNA from 1 species